rnacentral:rRNA from 1 species
GACGAACGCUGGCGGCGUGCUUAACACAUGCAAGUCGAACGGAAAGGCCCUGCUUUUGUGGGGUGCUCGAGUGGCGAACGGGUGAGUAACACGUGAGUAACCUGCCCUUGACUUUGGGAUAACUUCAGGAAACUGGGGCUAAUACCGGAUAGGAGCUCCUGAUGCAUGGUGGGGGUUGGAAAGUUUCGGCGGUUGGGGAUGGACUCGCGGCUUAUCAGCUUGUUGGGGGGGUGGUGGCGUACCAAGGGUUUGACGGGUAGCCCGCCUGGGAGGGUGACCGGCCCCAUUGGGACUGAGGUACGGCCCAGACUGCUACGUGGGGCAGCAGGGGAGAAUAUUGCCCAGUGGUCCGAAGCCUGAGGCGGCAACGUCGGGUGCGUGAUGCCGGCCUGCGGGUUGUAAACCGCUUUCGCCUGUGACGAAGCUUGAGUGACGGUAAUGGGUAAAGAAGCACCGGCUAACUACGUG